rnacentral:tRNA from 2 species
GCGGACGUGGCGGAACUGGUAGACGCAAGGGACUUAAAAUCCCUCGGGCCAUGCCCAUGCGGGUUCGAUCCCCGCCGUCCGCACCA